AGGUGUUUAGCUCAGAGGGAGAGCAUCGUCGUUACAAGGCGUUUGUCAAGAGUUCGAUUCUCUUAACACCAA
rnacentral:tRNA from 1 species